AGGGAAUAUUGCGCAAUGGGCGAAAGCCUGACGCAGCCACGCCGCGUGGGGGACGAAGGCCUUCGGGUCGUAAACCCCUUUUCUGAGGGAAGAACAAGCCGGGGAGGUAAUGCCCCGGCCCUGACGGUACCUCAGGAAUAAGCAACGGCUAACUCCGUGCCAGCAGCCGCGGUAAUACGGAGGUUGCGAGCGUUGUUCGGAAUUACUGGGCGUAAAGGGGGCACAGGCGGCCCGGCAAGUGGAAAGUGGAAUCCCGGAGCUCAACUUCGGACGUGCUUUCCAAACUGCCAGGCUUGAGUCCGGGAGAGGAAGAUGGAAUUCCAGGUGUAGCGGUGAAAUGCGUAGAUAUCUGGAGGAACACCAAUGGCGAAAGCAAUCUUCUGGCCCGGUACUGACGCUCAGGCCCGAAAGCGUGGGGAGCGAAC
rnacentral:rRNA from 1 species